rnacentral:sRNA from 1 species
AUUUCUGGGUCCGGAUUGUUCAAGAGCGGCCUGUCCAGUGUUAUGUAGUGGCAACGGGCAGUACUCCAAGGGCCGCUGCCUGUGUUUCAGCGGCUGGAAGGGCACCGAGUGUGAUGUGCCGACUACCCAGUGUAUUGACCCACAGUGUGGGGGUCGUGGGAUUUGUAUCAUGGGCUCUUGUGCUUGCAACUCGGGAUACAAAGGAGAAAAUUGUGAAGAAGCUGACUGUCUAGACCCUGGGUGUUCUAGUCAUGGUGUGUGUAUCCACGGGGAAUGUCACUGCAGUCCAGGAUGGGGAGGUAGCAACUGUGAAAUCCUGAAGACCAUGUGCCCAGACCAGUGCUCCGGCCACGGAACGUAUCUUCAAGAAAGUGGCUCCUGCACGUGUGACCCUAACUGGACCGGCCCAGACUGCUCAAACGAAAUAUGUUCUGUGGACUGUGGCUCCCACGGCGUUUGCAUGGGCGGGACGUGUCGCUGUGAAGAAGGCUGGACGGGCCCAGCCUGUAAUCAAAGAGCCUGCCACCCCCGCUGUGCCGAGCACGGGACCUGCAAGGAUGGCAAGUGUGAAUGCAGCCAGGGCUGGAAUGGAGAGCACUGCACUAUCGAGGGUUGUCCUGGUCUGUGCAACAGCAAUGGAAGAUGUACCCUGGACCAAAAUGGCUGGCAUUGUGUGUGCCAGCCUGGAUGGAGAGGAGCGGGCUGUGACGUAGCCAUGGAGACUCUUUGCACAGAUAGCAAGGACAAUGAAGGAGAUGGACUCAUUGACUGCAUGGAUCCCGAUUGCUGCCUACAGAGUUCCUGCCAGAAUCAGCCCUAUUGUCGGGGCCUGCCGGAUCCUCAGGACAUCAUUAGCCAAAGCCUUCAAUCGCCUUCUCAGCAAGCUGCCAAAUCCUUUUAUGAUCGAAUCAGUUUCCUUAUAGGAUCUGAUAGCACCCAUGUUAUACCUGGAGAAAGUCCUUUCAAUAAGAGCCUUGCGUCUGUCAUCAGAGGCCAAGUACUGACGGCUGAUGGAACUCCACUUAUUGGAGUAAAUGUCUCGUUUUUCCAUUACCCAGAAUAUGGAUAUACUAUUACCCGCCAGGACGGAAUGUUUGACUUGGUGGCAAAUGGUGGGGCCUCUCUAACUUUGGUAUUUGAACGAUCCCCAUUCCUCACCCAGUAUCAUACUGUGUGGAUUCCAUGGAAUGUCUUUUAUGUGAUGGAUACCCUAGUCAUGAAGAAAGAAGAGAAUGACAUUCCCAGCUGUGAUCUGAGUGGAUUCGUGAGGCCAAAUCCCAUCAUUGUGUCAUCACCUUUAUCCACCUUUUUCAGAUCUUCUCCUGAAGACAGUCCCAUCAUUCCCGAAACACAGGUCCUCCACGAGGAAACUACAAUUCCAGGAACAGAUUUGAAACUCUCCUACUUGAGUUCCAGAGCUGCAGGGUAUAAGUCAGUUCUCAAGAUCACCAUGACCCAGUCUAUUAUUCCAUUUAAUUUAAUGAAGGUUCAUCUGAUGGUAGCUGUAGUAGGAAGACUCUUCCAAAAGUGGUUUCCUGCCUCACCAAACUUGGCCUAUACUUUCAUAUGGGAUAAAACAGAUGCAUAUAAUCAGAAAGUCUAUGGUCUGUCUGAAGCUGUUGUGUCAGUUGGAUAUGAGUAUGAGUCGUGUUUGGACCUGACUCUGUGGGAAAAGAGGACUGCCAUUCUGCAGGGCUAUGAAUUGGAUGCGUCCAACAUGGGUGGCUGGACAUUAGAUAAACAUCACGUGCUGGAUGUACAGAACGGUAUACUGUACAAGGGAAACGGGGAAAACCAGUUCAUCUCCCAGCAGCCUCCAGUCGUGAGUAGCAUCAUGGGCAAUGGGCGAAGGCGCAGCAUUUCCUGCCCCAGUUGCAAUGGUCAAGCUGAUGGUAACAAGUUACUGGCCCCAGUGGCGCUAGCUUGUGGGAUCGACGGCAGUCUGUACGUAGGCGAUUUCAACUAUGUGCGGCGGAUAUUCCCUUCUGGAAAUGUAACAAGUGUCUUAGAACUAAGAAAUAAAGAUUUUAGACAUAGCAGCAACCCAGCUCAUAGAUACUACCUUGCAACGGAUCCAGUCACAGGAGAUUUGUACGUUUCUGACACAAACACCCGCAGAAUUUAUCGCCCAAAGUCACUUACGGGGGCAAAAGACUUGACUAAAAAUGCAGAAGUUGUCGCGGGGACAGGGGAGCAGUGCCUUCCGUUUGACGAGGCGAGAUGUGGGGAUGGAGGGAAGGCCGUGGAAGCCACACUCAUGAGUCCCAAAGGAAUGGCAGUUGAUAAGAAUGGAUUAAUCUACUUUGUUGAUGGAACCAUGAUUAGGAAAGUUGACCAAAAUGGAAUCAUAUCAACUCUUCUGGGCUCUAACGAUUUGACUUCAGCCAGACCUUUAACUUGUGACACCAGCAUGCACAUCAGCCAGGUACGUCUGGAAUGGCCCACUGACCUAGCCAUUAACCCUAUGGAUAACUCCAUUUAUGUCCUGGAUAAUAACGUAGUUUUACAGAUCACUGAAAAUCGUCAAGUUCGCAUUGCUGCUGGACGGCCCAUGCACUGUCAGGUUCCCGGAGUGGAAUAUCCUGUGGGGAAGCACGCAGUGCAGACAACACUGGAAUCAGCCACUGCCAUUGCUGUGUCCUACAGUGGGGUCCUGUACAUUACUGAAACUGAUGAGAAGAAAAUUAACCGGAUAAGGCAGGUCACAACAGAUGGAGAAAUCUCCUUAGUGGCCGGAAUACCUUCAGAGUGUGACUGCAAAAAUGAUGCCAACUGUGACUGUUACCAGAGUGGAGAUGGCUACGCCAAGGAUGCCAAACUCAGUGCCCCAUCCUCCCUGGCUGCUUCUCCAGAUGGUACACUGUAUAUUGCAGAUCUAGGGAAUAUCCGGAUCCGGGCUGUGUCAAAGAAUAAGCCUUUACUUAACUCUAUGAACUUCUAUGAAGUUGCGUCUCCAACUGAUCAAGAACUCUACAUCUUUGACAUCAAUGGUACUCACCAAUAUACUGUAAGUUUAGUCACUGGUGAUUACCUUUACAAUUUUAGCUACAGCAAUGACAAUGAUAUUACUGCUGUGACAGACAGCAAUGGCAACACCCUUAGAAUUAGACGGGACCCAAAUCGCAUGCCAGUUCGAGUGGUGUCUCCCGAUAACCAAGUGAUAUGGUUGACAAUAGGAACAAAUGGAUGUUUGAAAAGCAUGACUGCUCAAGGACUGGAAUUAGUUUUGUUUACUUACCAUGGCAAUAGUGGCCUUUUAGCCACUAAAAGUGAUGAAACUGGAUGGACAACGUUUUUUGAGUAAGUAUAUGAAAAUUCUACUCUGAUUAUAAAAUACUGUGAUAUAAUAAUAUCAUCUAUAAUAACAAUAUAAUCUUAAGGGCUGGAGGAUUCC